rnacentral:rRNA from 1 species
UUCCUUAGUAAGCUAUUGCGCCAACUAGGACUUUUAAUCCAACAUCGAGGUCACAAAAUUCUUUGAUGAUAAGAACUCUUAAAAGAAAUUAUGCUGUUAUCCCUACAGUAACUUAUUCCUGAUUUAAAAUUUUUCGNUUUUACAAGACUAGAACUCACAAUAUAAAAAUGACAUUAACUCAUNAACUGGCCCAGNUAAACAAUCUUAUUCUUGAUUUGGAAACAAAAAAUCAAUUGUAAAGCUUGAUAGGGUCUUCUCGGCCCCAAACNANAUUUUAGCCUUUUUACUNAACAAUNAAAUUCANAAUGUUUAAAUAAGACAGANAUAUUUAGUGAAACCCUUCAUUCCAGNCCUAAAUUAANAGACUA